GUGCGAUGAAUGUAUUGGAUAAGUUUCGGCUGAUUCAUAAUUGAUGUCAACUUUAUAACUUGCUGAGCAC
rnacentral:snoRNA from 1 species